rnacentral:rRNA from 1 species
UACGUAGGGGGCAAGCGUUGUCCGGAUUUAUUGGGCGUAAAGAGCGUGUAGGCGGCCAUACAGGUCCGUUGUGAAAACUGGAGGCUCAACCUCCAGACGUCGACGGAAACCGUAUGGCUAGAGUCCGGAAGAGGAGAGUGGAAUUCCUGGUGUAGCGGUGAAAUGCGCAGAUAUCAGGAAGAACACCCGUGGCGAAGGCGGCUCUCUGGAACGCAACUGACGCUGAGACGCGAAAGCGUGGGGAGCAAACAGG